rnacentral:rRNA from 1 species
GUAGGUGCUUGCACCUCUUGAGAGCGGCGGACGGGUGAGUAAUGCCUAGGAAUCUGCCUGGUAGUGGGGGAUAACGCUCGGAAACGGACGCUAAUACCGCAUACGUCCUACGGGAGAAAGCAGGGGACCUUCGGGCCUUGCGCUAUCAGAUGAGCCUAGGUCGGAUUAGCUAGUUGGUGAGGUAAUGGCUCACCAAGGCGACGAUCCGUAACUGGUCUGAGAGGAUGAUCAGUCACACUGGAACUGAGACACGGUCCAGACUCCUACGGGAGGCAGCAGUGGGGAAUAUUGGACAAUGGGCGAAAGCCUGAUCCAGCCAUGCCGCGUGUGUGAAGAAGGUCUUCGGAUUGUAAAGCACUUUAAGUUGGGAGGAAGGGCAGUUACCUAAUACGUAAUUGUUUUGACGUUACCGACAGAAUAAGCACCGGCUAACUCUGUGCCAGCAGCCGCGGUAAUACAGAGGGUGCAAGCGUUAAUCGGAAUUACUGGGCGUAAAGCGCGCGUAGGUGGUUCGUUAAGUUGGAUGUGAAAGCCCCGGGCUCAACCUGGGAACUGCAUUCAAAACUGACGAGCUAGAGUAUGGUAGAGGGUGGUGAAAUUUCCUGUGUAGCGGUGAAAUGCGUA